AUUAGGGACUUUUCAGUACAACUUGGAACUAGGAAUUAGGUUAGAGAAUACAACUUGAAGUACAACUUGAGGUAGGAAUUAGGCAUUGAGGAAGAAGACACUUGGACUAGAGAACUCAGAGGAAGAAGAAGUAUUUGCUAUUAGG